GGGGAUGUAGCUCAGUUGGGAGAGCGCUUGCUUUGCACGCAAGAGGCCGGGGGUUCGAAUCCCCCCAUCUCCA
rnacentral:tRNA from 1 species